UACGGAGGAUGCAAGCGUUAUCUGGAAUGAUUGGGCGUAAAGCGUCCGCAGGUGGCAAUGUAAGUCUGCUGUUAAAGAGUCUAGCUCAACUAGAUAAAAGCAGUGGAAACUACAUAGCUAGAGUACGUUCGGGGCAGAGGGAAUUCCUGGUGUAGCGGUGAAAUGCGUAGAGAUCAGGAAGAACACCAGUGGCGAAGGCGCUCUGCUAGGCCGUAACUGACACUGAGGGACGAAAGCUAGGGGAGCGAAUGGG
rnacentral:rRNA from 1 species